UGUGAAGAAUGAAAGGCCUUAGUCUCCACUGUUCAAAAGUUAGGGCCGUGGUUAAAAUUUUGUUAAACUGGUUCAGACUCCAAAGUCACAAGGUAAAAUUUGAUGGUACAUAUAGAAAGGUCUUGUCAAUAGGAAUAAACGUGAAAUAUGAAAGCCAAAUUCUCAACCAAUCAAAAAUGAAAGAAAAAUAAAAGUUUUUGCGGACAAACAAAGAUUAACUGACAGACAGAAGGACAAAGCAAAAACUAUAUACCUCAUAAUAAAAAUAAUGCUAAAUCAAAAAUGAAUCUAAAAAUAAAAAACUAUAAAAUGAAAAUAAAUAUACAAUGACCAAAUUUGUAUAUAAUGCAUCAAAAAUUACAAAAUAAAUUUAUAUGACCACGAAUCAUAUA